AUUGAACGCUGGCGGCAGGCCUAACACAUGCAAGUCGAGCGAGCGGCGGACGGGUGAGUAAUGUCUGGGAAACUGCCUGAUGGAGGGGGAUAACUACUGGAAACGGUAGCUAAUACCGCAUACCAUCAGAUGUGCCCAGCUGGGAUUAGCUAGUAGGUGGGGUAACGGCUCACCUUGGCGACGAUCCCUAGCUGGUCUGGGAGGAUGACCAGCCACACUGGAACGUAGACACGGUCCAGACUCCGACGGGAGGCAGCAGGGGGGAAUAUGGCACAAUGGGGGCAAGCCUGAUGCAGCCAUGCCGCGUGUGUGAAGAAGGCCUUCGGGUUGUAAAGUACUUUCAGCGGGGAGGCGUUACCCGCAGAAGAAGCACCGGCUAACUCCGUGCCAGCAGCCGCGGUAAUUC
rnacentral:rRNA from 1 species